UAAUAAGUGUUUUAUGGCACUUUUUAAAUCCAUAUCCCACCUUGUGUGCAAUGUCAGUCGAUCUUCUUCAUGGAGAUCGACCAAACAUCAACCUUUAUUUUUUAACUCUUUGUCUGAAAAAUAUUAUGAAUAAACAAUUCAAAAUA
rnacentral:misc_RNA from 1 species